GAUGAACGCUGGCGGCGUGCCUAAUACAUGCAAGUCGAGCGAACGGACGAGAAGCUUGCUUUUCUGAUGUUAGCGGCGGACGGGUGAGUAACACGUGGAUAACCUACCUAUAAGACUGGUAUAACUUCGGGAAACCGGAGCUAAUACCGGAUAAUAUUUUGAACCGCAUGGUUCAAAAGUGAAAGACGGUCUUGCUGUCACUUAUAGAUGGAUCCGCGCUGCAUUAGAUAGUUGGUAAGGUAACGGCUUACCAAGGCAACGAGGCAUGGCCGACCGGAGGGGCUGAUCGGCCACACGGGAACUGAGACACCGUCCAGACUCCUACGGGAGGCAGCAGAAGGGAACCUUAGGCAAUGGGCGAAAGCCUGACGGAGCAACGCGGCGUGAGUGAUGACGGUCUUCGGAUCGUAAAACUCUGUUAUUAGGGAAGAACACAUGUGUAAGUAACUGUGCAGAGCUUGACGGUACCUAAUAAGAAAGCCACGGCUAACUACGUG
rnacentral:rRNA from 1 species